rnacentral:rRNA from 1 species
UACGGAGAGUGCAAGCGUUAUCCGGAUUCACUGGGUUUAAAGGGUGCGUAGGAGGGCAGGUAAGUCAGUGGUGAAAUCCCCGAGCUUAACUUGGGAACUGCCGUUGAUACUAUCUGUCUUGAAUACCGUGGAGGUGAGCGGAAUAUGUCAUGUAGCGGUGAAAUGCUUAGAUAUGACAUAGAACACCAAUUGCGAAGGCAGCUCGCUACACGAAUAUUGACUCUGAGGCACGAAAGCGUGGGGAUCAAACAGG